CUAAGGGAAAGGCUACGCGCCGCAUGGACGGUAGCCGGGGCUAACGUACGUUACGCCAAAGAAAGGUCUAAGCUGACCUACGACGCGAACGCGAAAAUAGAAGAAUACCGCAUCGGAGAUAGAGUCCUACUCCACAACGAAGCCGUACGGCGCGGGCGUUCAGCUAAAUUGACCCCGAAGUGGAUAGGCCCGUACGAAGUAAUCGCGAGAAAUUCGGCGGUUAACUACACUAUAAAGAUGGGUCGGAAGACCAUCCUGGUUCACGCAAACCGCCUAAAAAACUUCAAUGAGCACUAAGAAGGAAGCGGGAUGGCCACAGCCGGAGAACGAACGGAAAUAUUCCAGGAAUACGUCAUUCAAGAAUAAGGGGCACACAGUAUUUAUUUCGAAGUCGCCCUACAUCUCUCGCCCGCAUAUCGGGCACUCCUCUCCGAAUAGCCGGAUCAAUCCCAGGAAGUCCGGGGGAUCUUCGUCGCUCGCGAAGACCCCAAGUCCCCAAAUCGCCUCCACCGUCCGCCGGCACAUGAAUCUCCGGCGGCGGAGCUCCCUGAGCACCCGGACCCCGAAUCUCUCGGCCGGGCUACGCCGGUCCACUCUCGUCGGGAUGAUUAGUUGUUCCUGAGGGGUAAAAUGCACAUCGUGAGAAAAAAUGCAAGAAUAAGGGGCACACAGUAUUUAUUUCGAAGUCGCCGUACAUCUCUCGCCCGAGAGAGAGAGAGAGAGAGAGAGAGAGAGAGAGAGAGAGAGAGAGAGAGAGAGAGAGAGAGAGAGAGUUAUAUUCGGGUGCCGAUUAAUAUUAGAUAUCGUUAACCGACAAAUUAUAAUUCGUUUUCUGUAAAAUCAUUGUGAGAUUUCCAAACCCUAAGUUUGGUUAAAUUUAGUGGCGAGCCCACGCCGUCUAUCUUUUGCAUAAUCUUAUGUUCCUCUUUCGAAUUAAAAUACGUUAAACCGAAUUCUUUUCUUGGGUUUUUGCUAAACUUCCGUUGACUUUGCUGAAGUGUAAUUCCGAAUCUAAUAUCCUAUUUUUGUAUACGAUAUCUUCCGUUCUUAUUUCUGUAAUUUCUUGAUGGUGUGCCGUGUCUAAUUGUCGUUGCCGAACCUUACUGUAAUUUCAUCGUUAUAUUCUCGGUGGAACUUUUGUGAAUUUUGCGUGUCGCACAUGUCCUUCCGACGUUGCGUGCGAGCCGCCCUCCGAGGCGACCUUGCUUGUUGACGUUCCUCGACGUCGCGCCUUCGGCCGAUUUCGAAAUUGGACUACCCGUACCGAGAACGUCUUUCCGCUGCAACGAUAAUGAAAUACUACUCAUUAUAAUAUUCUAUCUUUUUCUGACUAGAAUAUCUUUUCUGUGCCAUAUCUUGUAUUAAUUUAUUGUGAUAUUUCUAUUUAUGGUGCUACUUUUCGUGUCCGCGAUUUUCGAACUGGUGUUAGCUAACCCGCGUAUAGCAUCCUUUGUCGGGUUCCUUUGUAGUUAUAAUUUCUUUUGCGUGACUCUUUCUUAUUACGGUUGUGGACCGCGGUUAUAAUUUCGCGAAUGCGAGAAUUGGAACCGCGCAGAUCGUUUCGCUGCCAUUCCUUGUGUUCCGAUUUUUGUUGUUAUCGCUAUUUGUGUAUAUAAUUUCCAAACGAAUUUGUUAGUUUAUUCCGAAUAAUUCGUUUCUUUCAACCGUAUUAUUUUCCGUGGAUAUCGUCUUGUAGAAAUAUCGAGUCCGCGUGCCCUCGCGUGCGCGCUCAGGCGUAGCGCCUUUGCUGCCGAGAUUUUCCGAUAAGCAGGCUGCGUCUAUAGUCUUCUACAUUAUAUUUAGUGAUCCUUAUUCUCUUUUGCAUUGUAUAGCUUCCGAUUUUAGAUACCGAUCACUGUGAAUUAAUUUUAUGAUUUUUGUAAACCUAUGCUUGGCUUUCACUCACACCCUCAGUAAUGCCUGAGUUAAUGUUUUUGUAAUUGUGGGUAUUGCGUCUAUUGAUUAUUUGGACUUUUGUUCUGCUUGAUACAGCUCUGGUGCGUUAACUAAUUAAUUUGGAUUAUUUUCUUAUAGUUUUUCGUAUCACUUUCCUAUAAGUCCUUGGCUGAAUUCUUUCCUUCCUUACCUCUUGAACGCCGCGACGCUUCCGACGAGCUAGCCUCCGAAGCGGCGUACCGUAGACGUGUAGUGGUCUAAUUUUGUACUAUCUUUCGAGUUCCGGGUAACCUUAAGUUUAAUUACGUUUUCUAGUCUUUUCUUGGCCGUGGUGCCCUUAGGUUAGUUACGUUUUGAGAUACCCUUUUCUUGGCCCUGGUGCCCCUAUCUGUUGUGUUGGCCGUGUGGCCGUUAGGGUUAGUUUGCCUGGUGGUAACUUUAGAUUUAGUUCGCCUGGUGGCUGAUUUAGGUUUAGUUUGCCUGGUGGCAAUUGGUUAUCUCGGAUUUUUGUGUCGAUAACGAGCCUAGAGUUCGUGGUGCUCCUUAGAGGGUGCCUGGCGCCCAACCCACAUUUUUGAGUUUGCCGAGACCACUCACGCUCCCGAUUUCCGUUGUGUAGAACUCCGUUUUGUCGAUGACUGAGAUAACCGUCGCAGUUCAUAAGGAAUUUGUCAUACUAAUCCUUUAUUAAGUCUUUACAUAAAAGAUAAACCUGAAGCUCCUCGAGACUUGCAGUACCCACGAGGUUUCAGGUACAGAAUUGGAAGACUCAGGUAUGCAGUAACAGCCGAUAAAAUUUUGCAAUCCAAUCCGUCUACAUGAACUUUUGGUUCUGUACCACCAGUCAACGUACAAGGUUUUUAAUACCCUCCAGUUUAUUUACCCUAUUCUGCAAUAAAAUAAGCAUUAGAGACAGUUCCCACUUUCGAUGGAACUAAUAUGCCGGUAGGUACUUUUAUUCCGUCCUGCGUAUAUGCCAAGGAGCUGAUCUCUCCAACAGUCAUUACGCUUUUCGUCAGAUUACUACAUGACAAACUUCUAGGCGAAGCUAAAUCGCUCCUCAUAAAUGAAGGAAUCAGAAACUUUGAUGGAUUUAUCAAAGAAUUAGAGAAAUUCUACUCAGGUUUAGCUUCAGUGGGCAAAUUUUAAGGUGUAAUGGGGACUAUGUAUCAAAAAGAAGAUGAAACUCUGGCAUCAUACAUCUGCCCAUUUUUCACUUGCCUAGAAAACUUAUCAGAAGCCCUUCGUAAAAGAACUAAAGGAGAAGGAGGCAUAGUCGACAAGGUCAGACUUAACAAAGACUUGGUUAGAGAUUGGGUAUUAUGUUUUACUCGAGUAUUAAAACCAAAAAUAGUUUCUAGAAUGGACUCUGUUAAAUUAUUAAACAACCUUUCGGACACUUUAGAAGCCGCAGUGAUCGCAAAUCAGGAAAACCAAUUCUAUACAUCCUUAAAGACUGAGAUCCAGAAUGUGACAUCGACUAAUAAAACAAUCAAGGCUAAAACCCCUAACAUACACUCAGUUCAAACAAGUGGCAUAGAAUGAUGAUUUUGUAAGAAGAGUGGACAUGCAGUCGAGAACUGUUUUAAACAAGCUGUGCCAAGCGUCUACAAGCCGAUGAAGACAAACAAUAGUAUAUUACGAUACAAGUGCGCAAAGUAGGUGAUUCCCGCAAGAGUCGGGUCGGUUGUCGCCCGAGCGUAGCGAGGGUGACAAAAGAGACGAGUGCGGGAGACGCCUAUGCGCACGUGUAUCGUAUACUAUUUUUCCUAACAAGCUGCGUAAAAUUCGAUUUUGCACACGCGUUUGACAGUGCGGGAAUGGGGCACUUUGCGCACGCAAACCCGUGCGCAACAUUCGAUUUUGCGCACGCUGUUAGGAAAAAUCCUAAUUCAAGAAAUGCAUACGUUUCAAAUUCUAAUCCCGGACCGGUAGUUUGUCGUUAUUGUAAAAAUAUUGGUCAUACAAUUGAAGAAUGUCGUAAAAGAGUCUAUAAUAAUUCAGUUAAGAAAGGAAAUACGGCCUUUCGAAAGCAAUUCGAAAAAAGACUCCAAAGUAGAACCAUGCAAAUUGCUUCCUCAUUAUUUUACUCGAUUAUUUCUAUCACAGUGAUGCAAAGUAGAAUCUUACACUUUGCUUCUUGAUUCUUUUCCGUCGUUCAUAAAGCCUCUAUGAGGAAGUUCUUUGAUUAAUUUUGGCUUCCUCAUAGAGGAAGCUUUGCAAGAGUUCACGAGUUAUGUACUGUAACAAAAAUGUUACAAUGAACUCCUCCCUGCCACCUAGCUCGAGGUCACCACUGGCCCCGAGCACGAGUAUUGCGUAGGGUAUUGGGAAUUACUGUUUAUUGCGUUUAUUUAGUGUUUUGAGUCUGUUGUAUUUAGAGUUAAGAUCCCCUCCCUCCACCCUUCCCUCCCUGUCAUCAUUCCCCGUAGGGCACUGGCUCCAGGACCAUCAUCGAGGACCGCUACCGUGGACCAUCUACGAGGACACAUCAUCCCUGGAUGGACCGAGAGAGUGGCUACGUUGCCGAGGUAACGGAAGGCAUGGACAGGAGAAACAGCUGAUCGAGACUCCCGUGGGAUGAUGCCCGCCAGCCCGCCACCAUCGCCACCGAGAUGCAGCCCCGGUGCAGUCCCGUCACACGGACAGGAAAAAGUCCCGUGUGACAGCGGUGGAGCCCUCUCCCUCCGAAACCGCGGACGUGCCCGGGAGGAUUUUGACAGGCCUGUAGGCCGCUAUAUUUACCGGCGCGCGCCGGCAAAGCCAGCGCCGUGCCGCCGACACGAGACCCUGGACGGACCCGGCAACUCCGCAAGAUAUGAAAAGGACCAAUGCCUUGCCAUGCCGGAACUGCCGACCAAUGCCAGAGUGCGUAGCCCUCUCAGCUGAGCAGCCCCAGCCAAUCACCGAAGCCCUGGAGGCCCACGAGGGCCAGAGCGACCGGAAAUUUCACCACUUCGAGCCAGGGAAUUGAGAGUGAUAGAGUGAACCUUUUGCGGAUUGCGAAAUUGCGAGUGAGAGUGGGAUAAUUGCGAAUUUGGAUUAUAUCGAGUGUUGCGGAAUCGUUGCGUGAGUAUUGAGUUAUUGAGUUUUCCCUAUCUCCCACCUUUUACGCCUACCCCCUUUUGCUUUUGCGUUUUAAUAGAUCGUGGAUUUCCCCUUUUGGAUUUGGCGAGCCGUUCCCACGUGGACCGGCCUUUUUGCGUAGCUUAUCUUUUUGAGUUUUAGUCUGGCCUUCCGCCAACCGCGUGCGGCCAGUGGUAUAUUGCGUGCGUUCUAACUUAGUAUCUUGCACCCCUUUUGGAAAACCCCAUGCCCUUUCCCUUCCCCGCCAUUUUUGAAUAUUGUGAAACCCGAGGUAUUUGUAAGUAGCCAUUUUCGCGUUCGGGAACCUUCCUCCCUGAGACCCCCUCACAUCCUCCCCUGCUAGCCGUGCCAUGUCGCGUUAGAGUAAAUAUUCGAGGAACUUCUGAGGUCACUCAACGGCGCUACGCCGAAUAAGUAGCUGGCGUCCAUUUGUUGUUUUCGAGAUAUCUAGUGCCGGUAUGCCCUCCUGUCCCUCCUGGCCCCUUGCCAAUACCCUGCUCCCCCGUUCCCUGAUUCCCCUCGCCCACUAGUCCGUUUAAACGUCCGGUGUGACACCGCGUGCUCCUGCGUGAGCCGCGUGUUGUUAGCGUGUUCGGAGCGGUUUAGUUUUCUAUGGUAUUAAGUUCUGAUUUCUUUGCGGUUCUAUUCUUUUCUUGGUAUUGACAUUUGUAGUAUUAAUUAUAUUCUCCUCUACUUUACACCGUGUUUCACUUUCUUUUGAGUUCCCCCUUUCCCGUGGUAUUAGCGAUAGCUGUUCUUGCGAGACCCUGGGCCAUUUCCGUGGCCCAGUACGUCACAGUACAUACAAUUGAAUUUUGUUACUUACAGGAAUAAAAAAUAAAAAAUGUAUAAUCUAAAAAAACAAGCCACGUUAUAUACAGCUAUGAAGCGCUGUAACAAACAUCGUUGCAUCAUAUUUUUGUUGUGUACAAAGUUUUGGCUUACUUCAUUAAAUUUUACGGAAGCUGAUGCAAUAACGAUAAUUUUUUGAAAAUUUGAAAACCACGUAAAAUCUGAACCGCUUUAGCUAUCUUGUCGAAAUUCAAUAUCAAAAAACAUUGAACGUAUCUUCAGUUUCGAAGAACUAUUUAGCUGAAUCGUCGAACCUUUACGAAAGUUAGAGCAACCACGCCCUUUUUUCAAAAAAUUCAAAAUUAUAUAAAAUCUGAAUGACUGCAUAUAUUUCAUUAAAAGUCGCAACAUAUAAAGAGGAAUAACUACUUUACUUGCGUGCCAAAUUUCAGUCCGAUCGCUCUAACGGUUAUUGAGUAAGAGGCGAUUGAAUUUUCGAAGCCCUGCACACACACAUACAUACACACACGCGCGCGAGCAUUUUUUCUAAACCACUUUUCUUGACGUUUUAGACCAUGUUAAGUAUUCUAACAUGAAAAUCUCGAAAAAAAAUUUUACAUGAAUACAUAGUUUCCUCUAUGAGAAAGCAAAACGAGUCGAAUCUUCGACAAUUGGGCGACAGUCAGAACAUACAUGGGAUACGCCUAGUGAUAGCAAAACCAAAGGAAUAAUUGCAACCAUCCACGUCGGUAACCCAACCCGAGUCCCAACAAUAAAACUAUACUCUCCCGAAAUAAUUAGUAAUCCGGUUAUGAUGAUAAGCUCAGGAGCCGAACUUAAUAUAAUUAAGAAAAGUUGCAUUAAUCCUGAAACACCAGUGAUAGAUACAAAAACAUACUAUCUCAAAUAAAUUACACCGAAUUACGUAGAAACCCAGGAACAAGUACUACUUCACAUAGAAGAAGUGAACACUAUAUUUCAUAUAGUAUCAGACGAUUUUCCUAUUAUACAAGACGUAAUUAUCGAAGAACCGUUUUUUAAUGGAAAUGAAGCUGUAAUUAAUUUCAAAGAGCGAUAUUUGGAAUUUAAUGACUACACUAUUCCCUUCGAAACAGCAAGUUCAAUUACACUUCCAGCAAGAACUAAAAUUCAAAUUUCUGUCAAUAUCAUAAAUACUGAAGUAAUCGCAGGGUAUAUGCUUCGUCUAGAUGUGGGUAAUAACGUAUACUUAGGUGAAGCUUUAGUAACCAAUCGUGAAGGCAUCGAACAUAUUCUUGCUAUCAAUGUAUCGCAAGAAGAGGUUAUUAUAGAAAAACCUUGGGUUAAGUUACAAGAAUAUUGGGAUAAACCUUCCUAUGCUGAUGUUGCUAAAAUCACUGAUAAAUUUGCUACAUUCAUUGAAACAAAUAACUCUUACCAGCUCCAUAGUAUCAAUGAUAUUACUAUUUUACAAGAAAACAGAAAUUCUAACUCCUUGAACUCUUACGACUCGAUAACUUAAAUCAAGAGGAAAAGGAUUCGGUAAUAGAGUAAAUCAAAAAGCAUGGUAGAAACUUUCAUUUACCAGGUGAACCCUUAGAACCUUAUGAACCCUUAUCAACACUAGACAGUACCGUUAUCCGCCUAUACACAAGGAGGAGAUUAGGAAACAAGUCACUGAACUAUUGGAUAACGAGAUUAUCAAACCGUCUGAGUCAGCCUAUAAUUCACCACUUUGGAUAGUGCCUAAAAAACCAGAUCAUCAAGGAAACAAAAGAUGGAGAAUGGUUAUAGAUUAUAGGAGACUUAGCGAAAAAACAACAGGUGACGCAUAUCCACUUCCAAAUAUUACGGAGAUAUUAGAUCAAUAAGGAGCCGCUAAACACUUUUCAGUAUUCGAUUUAGCUUCGUGAUUUCAUCAAAUGGAAAUGGCAUCCGAGGAUUGCCAUAAAAUAGCAUUUACAACACCACAUGGACAUUACGAAUAUAAUUAAAUGCCUUUUGGAUUAAAGAAUGCACCUGCAACAUUUUAAAGACUUAUGGACAGAGUACUUACGGGACUUCAGGGAAAUUAACUCUUUGUAUAUCUGGACGAUAUAGUAAUUUAUGCUAAAUCCUUAGAGGAACAUCAAAUCAAAUUCGAAGCAUCGAUGUCUAGACUUAACAAUGCUAAUUUCAAACUUCAGCCAGGUAAAUGUGAAUUUUUACGCAAAGAAGUUGCUUAUCAUAUCUAGGGCAUAUUAUUGGCGAAAACGAAGCAAACUAGAUCCAAAGAAGAUAGAAGCAGUAUGGAAAUUUCUAGUUACACGAAAUCAAAAAAAAUAUUAAACAAUUUCUGGGCUUAGCAGGUUACUACCAAAGAUUUAUUAAAGAUUUUUCAAAAACUGCGAGUCUAUUGACGAGUCUUUUAAAGAAAAAUGUUCCGUUUUUAUGGAGAGAAGAGCAACAAAAAGCUUUUAAUACUUCAAGGGAAAAACUUUGCAAAAAUCCAAUUCUUCAGUUUCCAGAUUUUAGUAAACCAUUCGUUCUAAUAACAGACACCUCUAACUAUGCGAUAGGUGCUGUACGCAGUUAAGGCCCAAACGGGAGCGAUUUACCAGUUGCAUAUAAAAAUUGCAAAAAAAAAUUAAUCAGUGAUCGAAAAGGAGAUGUUAGCCAUCAUAUACGCCGUCAAACACUUUCGACCUUAUCUAUAUGAACGAAAGUUUACAUUAGUAACUGAUCACAGGCCGCUUACGUGUCUUCACAAAUCCGCUGACUCUACAUCCCGCAUAAUCGAAUGAAAGUUAAAACUAUCCGAAUACGAUUAUGAGAUGCAUUACAAAAACGGGAAAAUUAAUCUCAAUACAGAUGCAUUAUCGAGAAACCCGGUCGAAUUAGAACAGGCUCAACUUCUACCUUUAGAGGCAGAAGAUGCCAAUGAAGAGUACGAAUCCAAUUCAAGGUCAUCAAUACAAUCUCAUAGAGACAUUUCAAUUCCUAUUAAUCACGGAGAAUCUGACGAGGACGCAAACAUAGGUGUAACGACCGUGCUCGUCCAUCAACCAUUAGAGGGGAAUGAGGACGAUACAAGAAAUUCUAAUCAGGAAUGCACUGAAGAAAUAAUAGAAGGAAAUCUUACUAUGAUUCGAUUGCAUAUUUCGUAGACAAGUCAGGAAAACCUAUAGGGAAUGGAGGUGACCCUUUAGCCGAAGAUGGUAGACUGCUUAAGGGACCACUUAAAGCAGGAGAAAUUUAUGAGCAUCAAACAAGAGGAAAUCUUCACUUUAUUAUGAUGCUCUCUCACAUUCAUGCUACGUCAGAAGAAAUUCAAGAAUUAUUUGAGAAUUUAAUGCAUCGAAUCAAAUCUCAUAAGAUUAAUACAAUUAAUGUAGUGUAUAUUUUUAUAAGCUGUCAUAUUCCAUGAAUGCAUUUUCACUUAUGACAACGUACUACGCUUUCUUCCACAGUAAAGCAACCUAUGGAGUAGUUGCCUGGGGAGGAGCGUACGAUAAUGCUUUAUCAGGUUUACAAAGAGCACAAAAUAGACUAAUGAAAAAAGUUCGUAUUAAAGAUAAUAAAAUAAGGCUGCCUUUAUCUAUAAAACAAAGUUUUCUAUUAGAAUCAAUUCUUCAUAACUACAAUGAUCUAUCAAUCAAAUUUAAAGAAUCUACCAAAAUCACUAGAAAUAAAAUCACUCUACCUAUCAUAAAUAAAACUUUAGCUUUGAAUAGUUCCAGAAUUAUAGCAAUUAAACUGUUUAAUAGCUUAGAUACAAAUUUAAAAGAAGCGAGUAAAAACAAAGACUUUAUUAAGAGGCAAUUAAAAAUAUUGAUAAGCAAAAAUACGCAAAAAUUGUUAAACCUCCAUUUAAUAGCAUUAAAUGACUUAAUCAAAUAGGAGGAUUUUUGUAUAAAGCUUAUUUGUAAGUGUUAUUUCUAGUUUUAAGUUUUUAAUUUUAAUUUUUAGUUCUAUAAGUUAAACUAGGUCUGCGCACAGGUUUUUGUAAAAAACCUCUUGCAGAUUUUUAUGUAAUGAAAUCCCAUUUCAUAAAAUGUAUCCCAAUACACCUAGUUCAAUAAAUAUUAUUAUUAUUAUGUCUCUAGGGAACAUAAAAAUAGACUAUUGAAAUGGGACAAAAUCAAGGAAAUAUUUCAAUCUUUAGUAGAAUAUCAUUCAUCGACAGCAGGAGGACACAAAAGAAUUACUUAAACUUACAAACGCAUACGUCAAGACUAUUGUUGACGCCCACAUGUGGAAGGGAGGAAGGGACACGGCAACCAAGAAGGGGAAGGCCAAAGAGGGGACAGUUUUAAGAUAGGAGUAAGUUGGGGCAGUUUCGUUUUGUACAUUAAGCAGUGUUCACUGGCAGUAAUAUGUAAGUUCUUUUCAAAUAUAUAACUCAUUCUUGUA